rnacentral:misc_RNA from 1 species
CAAUUGCCCGUGAUGGUUAUAUUUUUAGCUGGAGUUAUAAUGGCAAUGAUGAUAAAUUCAGCGAUGACGAUGAGCAAGAUUCAGAGCCACCCUCUCCAGGGACACCAGAGCGUGAUGGCAAAGGGAAUUUGGAUAGUGGAAGCCAGAGUAACCUGAAAAAAAGAAAGGAUUUUGAUGGGAAGGAUGGUAAUUUGGGUGUAAAAGAGGGUUAUUUGCAUAAAGGGAAAUGGGAAUUGCUAAGGAAAGAUGG